rnacentral:lncRNA from 1 species
AAAGCCUUGGAAGAAUCAUUUGACCUCGUAGAAAUGUCACACACUUCAAGCUAUUUUUAAGAAUAUAUUUAUUUUUAAUUGCACAUGCAGAAGGUGUAUGUGCAUAUGUGAUUGUGGGUGCCCACAAAGGCUAUAAAAGGAUGGCGGGUCACCUGGACCUGGUCUUACAGACAUCUGAGCAGCCUGAGCCAGGAAAUGAACUUGGUUCUUGCAAAGGAAGUAAACACUCUUUAAUCCUUGGGCCUUCUCUCCUGCUCUUAUCCUGUUCUUGUGAAAAAGUGAAUCUAUACAAGUGUAGCACCUCUCCUAGCCUCAUGUUUUUUCUGUGGAUAAAAAAAGCCCGACUCAUCAUUUUUUUAAUGUCCUUAAAAUUGGAUUACAGGAUUAGAAAUUUCCUAUAUUGUAUCUCCUUUGGUCUUCCUAAAGGAUGCUAAAUCUAUCUGUGCAAACCAUAACUGGAGUUAGACACUUUGCUCUGGCCUUUUCAGGAGCUCCGAAUUCUAGAAAGAAUUUAAAAGAAAAGAUUAAAUUGUAAUUGAAUCAAUAAAGAGCCAGAGCGAUAAACUUUUAUAUAGAGAAAUGAGAAUUUAAAACUGUAGUAAGAAGUGACCCAUUACCCUCCACUAUUAGGGUGAUGAAUUAACCAAUGAAAGAAUUCGCUAAAGAUAAAUUAUUUAGAACUGGAUUCUUCUCUGACCAAUUGUUUAAAAAAAGAAAAAGAAAAACACAAUACUAUCACAGCUGAAUGCUCUUCUGGUGCUUGCUUAAACCUGAGUUAUACAACAGUGUAAAAAUGUUGCCUUCAGGAACUAAAAUCUAUCACUCUGUAUUAGAUGAUACUUCAAUGACUACCCCAGCAACAUUAGAUCAAAUUAGUGCUGAUCUAAGGAAAGUAUUAUGUGCUUAGUUUUGCUCACUUUACAGCUGUUGUUCUUACCUGCCCAUGGGUGUCACCUGCAGACUUGCCAGCCUCGAACUUUAAGGCCAACCCAAAGUCAGCAAUGCAAGCUGUCAGAUUGUUUUUCAACAGCACAUUUUUACUUUUGAUGUCCCUUCAAACAUAAAAAUAAAAUAUCUUAAGCAAGUUAUCUUUCAAAUUUUUCUACUGAAUACAUGGAGAAUAUGAUAUAAAAAUAAAGUUACUUAAAACUAAGAAACUUUAUUUAGAGCAAAGAAGAGUGCCUCAUCUGGUUCAACUUAAAGACAACUCUAGCAAACAUGUCUAUGCUCUCAUCAAUAGGUACACUUAGAAGUAGUCAUUUAGUUCUACAAAAAGAUGAAGGUAGAGUCAAAUGCUCCAGACACCAACUGACAAACAUUUUAAAGGGCCCUAUAACUAAUAAGUUAGGGGACUCAUAAACAUGAAAGAAAGGAGAGGACUUUCUAAAGAAGUCAUGGUUUGGUAACACUCAACUACACAUCUGCUAAAUCAAUAUGUUAAUACCGACUUUUAAAACAGCCAUUUUAAAACUGAAUAGAAAGACAACUCAAUCCCAUAUUAUUCCAAGGAAGUUAAAUAAUAGCAAACUAAAUUUAUUUCCCAGAAACAAAUAUUUUUCCUUUUUAAGACUGUAACAGUCAUUUCACUGAUGAGCACUAUUUCUUUACUCAAGAGCUAGCUGUCUCCUCUUGGUUGGUCCCUUCUACUUUAGCUCAAGGAAUGAAUGUUAUAUUUAUUCAUCCAAAAGACAGAGAAAAUACUUUAUCCUUAAUUCUAUCACUGUGGAUUUACUAAAAAUUGUCUUUAAACUCAAAAUUUUGAGUUAAAAUCAUUUCUCCUUUGAAAUAGAGAAAAUACACUUUUAUUCUCAAACAUACUUUCAGAAGUUACACAAAUUAAAACAUGGGAUCAUUAGACUUUAUUAACAAGAUUAACAUGUACAUUAACAUGUACAUACCAAAACACACCCUAGCCAAUCUCACCUAAUUUUAAAAACUUGAAAAGUCUUUGCCUCUUCAAAUAUGAUUGGAUAAUCACUGCAAAAAUAAAUUUUACUCCAAGAGUUAAAAGUUUAAGUAGUAAACAUUUGAGCUGGAUGAAAAGACAAUACAGAUUUUGUUCUACCUGUGAGAGAUUGCAGGCUUGUGGCCAUCUUUUAAGCCAGGUAUAUCCUCAUGUAAAUAUGCCAAUCCUCUAGCCAUGGUUUCUGCAAUAUGACAAAGUUCAUUCCAAGAGACCACAUUAGCCUUAAGAAAGUCUGACAGUGAGCCCUAAAGAAAGGAGAGGUGGGAGGGAAAUACCCAUAAGCUCUUGAUCACAAUUUCACAUAAACAGAAACUUUUCUCUGGAUAUAAAAGCAACACAUUCCUUUCC